CUCGAGAAANNAAUUUUAGUUCANCCUAAAGUAAACAAAAACAUGUAAAUUAUACCUUACUUUAAAGUAAUUCAAAUAAGGUACAGCCUAUUUGACACAGGAUUCAACCUUUACCAACGGGUAAUAAUUAACUAACACCCCCCUAAGUGGGCCUAAAGGCAGCCAUCUUAUUAAAAGCGUUAAAGCUUAGUCGUGUUAAUUUUAAUAAAUACCACAUUAUUGACCCCUUCACCACUACCGAGAACUUCUAUAAAAUAUAGAACCUUUUAUGCUAAAACUAGUAACAAGAGGAAACACCUCUCUAUUAUGCAAGUAUAAACCAGAAAGAAUUACUCACUGGUACUUAACAAAUAAAAUAGUAACUCUCCCCUAGAAAACUCUAUUUCUCAUAAUGUUAACCUAACACUAGAGCAUCUCAAGAAAGAUUAAAAGAAAAAGAAGGAACUCGGCAAAUAUUUACCCCGCCUGUUUACCAAAAACAUCACCUCUUGACUUUAUAAGAGGCCCAGCCUGCCCAGUGACUCUUGUUUAACGGCCGCGGUACCCUAACCGUGCGAAGGUAGCGUAAUCACUUGUCCUAUAAAUGAGGACUAGUAUGAAAGGCUUCACGAGGGUUAAACUGUCUCCUUUCUCUAAUCAGUAAACCUAUCUCCCCGAGAAGCGGGGAACUUUAUGNNCAGUUUCUAUNNAUAAUAGAGCUUUUUUCAGUACGAAAGGAUCAAAACAGCGUGACCUAUGUACACACAAGUCACAGUUAAUCAUUUUAGACCAACUCNUAAAAAAUAAUUAACCUUUCCCCCCCC
rnacentral:rRNA from 1 species